GCUCAGCCGGAGGUAGGGUCCAGCGGCUGG
rnacentral:snRNA from 1 species